CUCUCUCUCAUCUUUCUCUUUA
rnacentral:snRNA from 1 species